UUGACAUGGAUACUCUGGGAGAUCACUUUUUCAGGCUCUGUCCAGGUGGUGGGUGGGAGUGCAGGGCUCUGCUCAGUGACAUACAGUCCCUUUCCAAGGUGUCGGAGAUGAAGCCGGGCCCUGAGUCUGCGCAUGCAUAUUCUUACAGCUUCACAGAGUCCCAUGGACCGUGACUGAGGACACAAACCAUGCAGAAAACAUGC
ensembl:snoRNA SNORA73 Small nucleolar RNA SNORA73 family